rnacentral:rRNA from 1 species
CUCGUAGGCGGUUUGUCGCGUCGGGAGUGAAAUCCACUGGCUUAACUGGUGGCUUGCUUUCGAUACGGGCAGACUGGAGGUAUGCAGGGGAGAACGGAAUUCCUGGUGUAGCGGUGAAAUGCGCAGAUAACAGGAGGAACACCGGUGGCGAAGGCGGUUCUCUGGGCAUGUCCUGACGCUGAGGAGCGAAAGUGUGGGGAGCGAACA